CCUACGGGGGGCAGCAGUGAGGAAUUUUGCGCAAUGGGGGAAACCCUGGACGCAGCGACGCCGCGUGGAGGACGAAGUCUCUCGAGAUGUAAACUCCUGUCAGUGGGGAUGAUAAUGACAGUACCCACAGAGGAAGCACCGGCUAACUCCGUGCCAGCAGCCGCGGUAAGACGGAGGGUGCAAGCGUUGUUCGGAAUUACUGGGCGUAAAGCGUACGUAGGCGGCGGAUUAAGUCGAAUGUUAAAGCCCGAGGCUCAACCUCGUGGAUGCAUUCGAUACUGGUUUGCUAGAGGGUGAUAGAGGAAAGCGGAAUUCCGAGUGUAGCGGUGAAAUGCGUAGAUAUUCGGAGGAACACCAAUAGCGUAAGCGGCUUUCUGGGUCACACCUGACGCUGAGGUACGAAAGCUGGGGAGCGAACGGGAUUAAAUACCCCGGUAGUCCACGCCGUAAACGAUGGAUGCUAGGCGUAGCGGGUAUCGACCCUUGCUGUGCCGUAGUUAACGCGUUAAGCAUCCCGCUUGGGGAGUACGUUCGCAAGAUUGAAACUCAAAGGAAUUGACGGGGGCCCGCACAAGCGGUGGAGGAUGUGGUUUAAUUCGACGCAACGCGAAGAACCUUACCAGGACUUGACAUCUAGCGAAUCUUUUCGAAAGAAGAGAGUGCCUUCGGGAACGCUAAGACAGGUGGUGCAUGGCUGUCGUCAGCUCGUGUCGUGAGAUGUUGGGUUAAGUCCCGCAACGAGCGCAACCCUCGGAUUUAGUUGCCAUCAUUUAGUUGGGCACUCUAGAUCGACUGCCGGUGACAAACCGGAGGAAGGUGGGGACGACGUCAAGUCAUCAUGCCCCUUACGUCCUGGGCUACACACGUCCUACAAUGGCGAGAUACAGAGGGCAGCGAAGCAGCGAUGUGGAGCGAAUCCCAGAAAGCUCGUCUCAGUUCGGAUUGCAGGCUGAAACUCGCCUGCAUGAAGUAGGAAUCGCUAGUAAACGCAGAUCAGCAUGCUGCGUUGAAUACGUUCCCGGGCCUUGUACACACCGCCCGUC
rnacentral:rRNA from 1 species